AACGCCGCGUGCAGUGAUGAAGGCUUUCGGGUCGUAAAGCUGCUGUGCUGGGGGAAAGAAGUGUAUUGUGGUUAAUACCCAUGAUACUUGACGGUACCCCUGACGGAAGCACCGGCUAACUCCGUGCCACCGGCCGCUAAUA
rnacentral:rRNA from 1 species